rnacentral:rRNA from 1 species
CUUUACUGUAGCUUUGCAUUGGACUUUGACAAGAUUUGUGUAGGAUAGGUGGGAGGCUUUGAAGCGGUGACGCCAGUCAUCGUGGAGCCAUCCUUGAAAUACCACCCUGGUGUUGUUGAGGUUCUAACCUGGGCCCCUGAAUCGGGGUCGGGGACCGUGCAUGGUGGGCAGUUUGACUGGGGCGGUCUCCUCCCAAAGAGUAACGGAGGAGUGCGAAGGUUCGCUAGGUACGGUCGGAAAUCGUACUGAUAGUGCAAUGGCAUAAGCGAGCUUAACUGCGAGUCCGACAAGACGAGCAGGUACGAAAGUAGGUCAUAGUGAUCCGGUGGUUCUGUAUGGAAGGGCCAUCGCUCAACGGAUAAAAGGUA